UUACUUCCAUUUUUAUUGACAUUUCCCCAUCUCUUUCUCAGAUUAUAUGAACAUUACAGCAAUGGAGAGGGGUUAUCACAGCACCUCUUGUGAAUUCCAGGUUACAAAUAAAUUGGUCAAUGAAAAAAUGGGCCAACAAAAUAAGACCUCAGCGCCCUGUCAGCUAUUUCUCUAUUCUUAUUCUCUUUCCCCCAUCUCUUAAUGGUAGCGACAUUUAUACAGAGAGGGAUCAUCGAGACUGUGGGCCUGCUGGCCGAAUCGACAUGGUGAUUUCACCAGUGUCCCGUGAAGAACCAUCAAGGAUGCUUUCUGUCAUACCAACCAUUGGCUUAGCCUCACGGAAGUAAGAAGACCUGAUGUUUAGGGUGCAGACAAGUUAUCACACCACCCAUCAGUGACAUGUCCCACACUCCCUUGGAAAGGGACCAAGCUUUGCAUAAGAAACUUGGGAAUUGUGUUGGAUAAGCAGACUCUGAGUUGACUCAAGGCCCCUCAGACAUGAAAGGACCCACUUAUCCAUGCAGAUGGCAAUAAGGUAGGCGACGUAGCACAGAAGCAAGGUACUGCUCGUUUUUACCUUUCAUUCAACCUCCCCACAACUACUGCAAAAGAACAGUUUUGGGUAUUGUGUCAUUAAAAACACAGUAACUGCAGUUAAAGAGCCUUUCUUUAGGGCCAGUUUAGUGGAACUCAUCACAGCACAAAGCAUCACAGUUUAAGGCCUUGUGUACUAUGUAGCAAGCAAAACCUUGCCCGCAGCCACCAACCCCUCCAAACCAUCCCCGAAGGGGGACGGGGAAUGUGAUACCUGCAGAUUCACCACAUUAGGCUAGAAUAAACAUAAAGGGAGGGUUCCAGCUAACCCCUUUGGUUUUCUCCCUAGGAAAGACUCAAGCCGUGCUUGGAAAAUAGGUCACUGGAAACGACAAAAGGGCAACAGAGUUCUCUGUAUAGUUAAAAGCACUGGCUAGUCCUAGCAUUUCUUCUGUAUGAUAAAGCAGGAAGCCAGCCUUCAAAUUCAGCUAUCUGGGCACAUGGCAAUUGGCUCCGAGUCUGGACACUACAUUUCAUGAGGAUAAAGCUGAGGAAAGAAUGGACAUACUUUUCUCCACAUGGACGUAUUUUGAUUCACUGGCUGAAUGGAUUAAGAUGCCUGCUGGACACAGAGCGUCCAUGUAGCAGCACACUUACAGGUUCUGGGGCUGCAUUUAAGCCAAACGCUGCCCAACGGCCAGCAAGACUCCUUUGGUUUUCAUAACUGCCCCUUCACAGCUCCUUUGGACUCUGCUGAUUUUAUCCCUGUGAGAUGCUCAGCAGUUCUCGAUCCUCAUGAAGGUAACAGAAGGAAAAUCACUGCUCUCCUCCCUUCCUAACCACCAGGGUUGAUAGCAAGCAGAGAUUAAAACCCAUUUUGGUUUAUCUAGAACAGCAGGAAAGGAAAGACACCCUGGGAACUAGGUCACAGCAACUCUUUGCAUGAGAAAGAGGGGACAGUCAAUUGUAUUUAACUUUCUCUAGGUGGUUUUGCCACAUCCCUACAAAUUCUUACAAGAAUUAUCCAAAUUCUUUCUUCACUGCCUGUGGCAUUACUAGCAGCUCAACCCAGUGUGACUAGGGGCCAAGAUCCCCAUCCAUUUGGAAAGGGAGGGUGUGGGGAGAAACAGGGUAGUGAGAGCUAUCACCUCUCCCGGCUUCCCUGAGAAGUCAGGAAAUCUCUUCAUGUGAGCCAGCUUCCUCCUGGUUUUCACUAAUAGGCAGUGAAGUGUAUUACACACUACAAGGUUCAGCUAGACUGUACUCGUCAUGAGAAACUUAGAUACAGGCUCCCUCAAGUACGGAAGGAAGAAGUUCCCUGUCUCCUGCUGAAAUGUACAAGGACAGGGUAUCUGAUAUAGAGACCCUCCAAACACAGCACCGCCAUAGGUCAGUUUUCUCUGGAGUUGGAAUUCUAAAAAUCAAGCAACUGUUAGGUACAGAAAGAAAGGCCAAAUACAGGAGGGAGGAAUUAGAGAGACAAAUAACUGGUGGAAGAAUAUUCAAUUCCUUGGCCUCUGAAAGGGCAUUAGGCCAACACACAGCCCUCAGUAGUUGUAUAGGAUAUUUCUGUUCCCCUUACAAGACCACAGGAAGAAGCAUGUUUUGACCAUCUGAAAUCCUCUCCCUAUAUGGAAGUUUAAGAUAGUGACUAAAGGAGGAAGAUGCAAAGUUGUUCAAACAAGCAAGCAGUACUUUGGGGUUCUAGAGACUAGAAUGCUUUUUAAAAAGAAGAAAAUUUCCAAAGCAAAGCAAAAAGUUAAAGUGCUCCAAAGCCCCUGAACAUUUUCUUUAAAUAUUUACUUACUCUGGAAUGUAUACCAUAUUCUAGGUUAAAGCUUUCCAAAUAAAGGUGGGAGGACAGCCUGCGACUGACUUGAUCUGUUGUGUGUGCUUCUGAUGUCCCCUAGUUAUAAAUGUCCUGGUUUCUGAUGUGAUCUGCAGAAAAAGGUCUUUUAUAAACCUGCAAUGGAAAAGGGCAAUGCUAAAUAAAAUGAGGGACGAGAAGUGGUAAGGAUUAGUCACACUUCUACUGAUUGACCCUGGUUAUCAGCUCUGGUAGUAAUGGUUAGCUGAUACCUAUUUGAAUCCCAUCAGAUUCUUGAAUCAGGCUGUGUCAAACCAUGUAUUAAACUAUCCUUACCUAUCCCAGAUUUCCACUCAUUACCAAUGACUGUAAUUAUAAACACUUGUAUUUCCCUAAGUGCUUAGUUAAAUGAUGAUACUUGUGAUAUGAAUGGACCUUAGAUUCAUGUUACAGUUUUAAGAAAGACAGCCAGCAUGUGUAUGUUUUGUCCUCUAGAGGGUAGAGGUCCUGGAUAGAUCACAGGAGUUUUGUCUCUUCAAAAUAAACUUGUAAUUUAACUGCAUUUAUCCUGAAAUAACUGCGCCAGCAAAGUGAUACUAUUACUUUUUAAAAAUACUAACUAGUAUUUUUAUAUGGCAAUGAUUCAUGCAAGCCCAAAUAAAAAGACUAGUGGUCGAGUUCAUUGCUUAAAGUUUGUGACGUUUGCAAACUCUACAUCAUUAAGGAGUAACUGCAGUGUGCAAGCUCCCUGGCAUUCUAAUGGGGUUCUACGGUGAGGAACUAGGUGUUCAAGAAAGGUCUGCAAUGUUCUUCAUUUUACAGGACCAGUGACCACAAUUUCUUCCUUAGUGCAACUUGUCCAUGCUAAACGUAGUCCCUGCAUAUCUACGUGGCUCUUCACACAAAACUCUGGAAUAUUUCAAGGGAGUAAGGCUCUCAUAUGCUGAGAAUGACCAAAGAUAACUUAAGACAUGACAACAAAACUUCACAAACAAUAAUGCUUGCAUCUUCCACUCCAUGUAUCUAUACCAACACACCACAGCCAAUGACAAGAUGCCCCCAAACCUAAGAGAAUCUGGACCGACAAUUCUUACCAAUAAAAGGAGUGAUUUCAAAAACAGAGAUAUGCAAAACUAUUUCAAUUCUUUUCCAUUCUGUUGCCAAUUCUCCCCUAUAAUACCUGAUGGCUACUAAAAGACAAGCAGAUCUUGAGAAUAACAGAGUCAAAGUUUUCGCUUUGGUCAACAGAAAAAAAAAGUAAGAACUUUAAACAUGGUGAUUUUCAGAUUUGUUCUUUGGUCAAGCAGUAUAAAGCUCUCUGAAAGAAGUCCCCUUACCUGGUAUGAAAACAAAGUCAAAAUACAGGAUCACAGUUCAGCCAAAAAAAUGUGUUCAGAAUUUCUUAAAAAAAAAAA